GUCUGCGGCCAUACCACCCUGAACGCGCCCGAUCUCGUCUGAUCUCGGAAGCUAAGCAGGGUUGGGCCUGGUUAGUACUUGGAUGGGAGAAUCACAUUUUGUUCCCACAGGCU
rnacentral:rRNA from 1 species